rnacentral:rRNA from 1 species
UACGUAGGGUCCGAGCGUUAAUCGGAAUUACUGGGCGUAAAGCGUGCGCAGGCGGUUCGCAAAGACAGGUGUGAAAUCCCCGGGCUUAACCUGGGAACUGCGCUUGUAACUAGCGGGCUAGAGUGCGGCAGAGGGGGUGGAAUUCCACGUGUAGCAGUGAAAUGCGUAGAUAUGUGGAGGAACACCGAUGGCGAAGGCAGCCCCCUGGGUCGAC